rnacentral:rRNA from 5 species
UAGCGCGGUGGUCCCACCUGACCCCAUGCCGAACUCAGAAGUGAAACGCCGUAGCGCCGAUGGUAGUGUGGGGUCUCCCCAUGCGAGAGUAGGGAACUGCCAG